GUCUUCAUGAGAAUAAUGUGAAGUUGGCCCUGCCCAAUGUUUAAUCAAUGGCCGCAGUAUUUUGACUGUGCUAAGGUAGCAUAAUCAUUAGUUUCUUAAUUAGAAUCUAGAAUGAAGGGGUUGAUGAAAAAGGAACUGUCUCUUUUAUAAUCAAUUAGAAAUUUAUUUUUAAGUUAAAAAGCUUAAAUGUUUUUAAAAGACGAGAAGACCCUAUAGAGUUUUAUAUAUAAAAAAUUCUAAGCUUAAGGUUAUUUAUUUGCUAAGAAUUCUUUAAUAUAUUUAAUUGGGGUGAUUAUGAAAUUUAAUUAACUUUCAUUGGUAAUUAAUAUAAAUAUAUAGAGAUAAAAUGAUCCAGUUUAUUCUGAUUUUAAGAUAAAAUUACCUUAGGGAUAACAGCGUAAUCUUUUUUUAGAGUUCUUAUCGAUAAAAGGGGUUGCGA
rnacentral:rRNA from 1 species